AUGGUCAAAAUUCUCCAAGCCAGGCUUCAGCAAUAUGUGAACCAUGAACUUCCAGAUGUUCAAGCUGGUUUUAGAAAAGGCAGAGGAACCAGAGAUCAAAUUGCCAACAUCUACUGGAUCAUUGAAAAAGGAAGAGAGUUCCAGAAAAACAUGUAUUUCUGCUUUAUUGACUAUGCCAAAGCCUUUGACUCUGUGGAUCACAAGAAACUGUGGAAAAUUCUUAAAGAGAUGGGAACACCAGACCACCUGACCUGCCUCUUGAGAAACCUAUAUGCAGGUCAGGAAGCAACAGUUAGAACUGGACAUGGAACAACAGACUGGUUCCAAAUAGGAAAAGGAGUACAUCAAGGCUGUAUAUUGUCACCCUGCUUAUUUAACUUACAUGCAGAGUACAUCAUGAGAAAUGCUGGGUUGGAAGAAGCACAAGCUGGAAUCAAGAUUGCAGGGAGAAAUAUCAAUAACCUCAGAUAUGCAGAUGACACCACCCUUAUGGCAGAAAGUGAAGAGGAACUGGCAAGCCUCUUGAUGAAAGUGAAAGAGGAGAGUGAAAAAGUUGGCUUAAAGCUCAACAUUCAGAAAACGAAGAUCAUGGCAUCUGGUCCCAUCACUUCAUGGGAAAUAGAUGGGGAAACAGUGGAAACAGUGUCAGACUUUAAUUUUGGGGCCUCACAAAUCACUGCAGAUGGUGAUUGCCACCAUGAAAUUAAAAGACGCUUACUCCUUGGAAGGAAAGUUAUGACCAACCUAGAUAGCAUUUUGAAAAGCAGAGACAUUACUUUGCCAACAGAGGUCUGUCUAGUCAAGGCUAUUGUUUUUCCAGUGGUCAUGUAUGGAUGUGAGAGUUGGACUGUGAAGAAAGCUGAGUUUCGAAGAAUUGAUGCUUUUGAACUGUGUUGUUGGAGAAGACUCUUGAGAGUCCCUUGGACUGCAAGGCAAUCCAACCUGUCCAUCCUAAAGGAGAUCAGUCCUGGGUAUUCACUGGAAGGACCGAUGCUGAAGCUGAAACUCCAAUACUUUGGCCACCUGAUGCGAAGAGUUGACUCACUGGAAAAGACUCUGAUGCUGUGA
rnacentral:lncRNA from 1 species